GAGUAACACGUAAGCAACCUGCCUAUCAGAGGGGAACAACAGUUAGAAAUGACUGCUAAUACCGCAUAUGCCUUAGAAUCACAUGGUUCAAAAGGGAAAGGAGCAAUCCGCUGAUAGAUGGGCUUGCGUCUGAUUAGCUAGUUGGUGGGGUAACGGCCUACCAAGGCGACGAUCAGUAGCCGAACUGAGAGGUUGAACGGCCACAUUGGGACUGAGAUACGGCCCAGACUCCUACGGGAGGCAGCAGUCGGGAAUAUUGCGCAAUGGAGGAAACUCUGACGCAGUGACGCCGCGUGCAGGAAGAAGGUUUUCGGAUUGUAAACUGCUUUAGACAGGGAAGAACAAAGACAGUACCUGUAGAAUAAGCUCCGGCUAACUACGUGCCAGCAGCCGCGGUAAUACGUAGGGAGCGAGCGUUAUCCGGAUUUAUUGGGUGUAAAGGGUGCGUAGACGGGAAGUCAAGUUAGUUGUGAAAUCCCUCGGCUUAACUGAGGAACUGCAACUAAAACUGAUUUUCUUGAGUACUGGAGAGGAAAGUGGAAUUCCUAGUGUAGCGGUGAAAUGCGUAGAUAUUAGGAGGAACACCGGUGGCGAAGGCGACUUUCUGGACAGAAACUGACGUUGAGGCACGAAAGUGUGGGGAGCAAA
rnacentral:rRNA from 1 species